UAUAUGGUGGAUUACACUUAAUGGAUUAUGUAUGUUGGACCACCUCUGAAUCUCUGGGAUGAAGCCUACUUGUUCAUGGUGGAUAUGUUUUUGAUGUGUUCCUGGAUUUGGCGUAAUCCAGCAAAACCACUUGUGAUGGCAUGAACUAAAAAUAGAAGCAAAUGUUCAAAGAAAGUGGAGCAUCUAUUGCGCAAUAUGAGCUUAACGCUUUUGAACGAAUGUCUCACAUCCAAGAAUUUAUUAAAAGUUGUAACUACCAUGUUUCAGAUAUAUUUAGUACUGACCUUUUGGGAAUGGAUGACCUAUCAGUUGGCUGAUCCCUGGAGAAAAUGGAUUCUGCUUUCCUCAGCAGCUGUUGAUUGCCUGUAGUCCUUCAUCUAGAAGCUGACCUUGUGUUUAAAAUACAAAGUGUGAGUAGCAUAACCUCAUAUAUAACGUAUUAUAGUAGUAUAUAUUUUAUGCACAUACUUUUAAAAGUUCCUGCCAUUGAGCAUUAUCCUCAACUUUUGUUCCAAGAAUAAACACUUGGUCAUACUUAUAUUAUUAAAUAUAUUAAAUGUGUUUUGUUAAAUAUAAGACAGUUAUUUCCAAAAAUUAUAAUCACAUUUUCAAGUCAAUAACCAAGUAGAUAUUUCCCUUAUACAGGCAGUUUUAUUUUACUGUCCUCUGUAUUAUUUGUCCCCCAGUGGUACAAAUAUUGAUAUUUUUGUACUCGGAAUCAUAAUACAUGUGCGUGUAAAGAUUUGCAGAGUGUGUUUGCUUUCUUGGCCCUCAUAAAAUUCUUUUUGUGAAGCACUGUUGUCAUUGUUUUUUAUUUCUGGGAAAUAUAGUUUAAACACAACAAGUUCAAUAACGUAUCUAAGAUAUGCAUUCAAACAUUGAAGUGGCUGAAAUGUAAUUUGAGUGUUAUCAAGC
rnacentral:lncRNA from 1 species